CGGCGGACGGGUGAGUAAUGCCUAGGAAUCUGCCUGGUAGUGGGGGACAACGUUUCGAAAGGAACGCUAAUACCGCAUACGUCCUACGGUAGAAAGUGGGGGAUCUUCGGACCUCACGCUAUCAGAUGAGCCUAGGUCGGAUUAGCUAGUUGGUGGGGUAACGGCUCACCAAGGCGACGAUCCGUAACUGGUCUGAGAGGAUGAUCAGUCACACUGGAACUGAGACACGGUCCAG
rnacentral:rRNA from 1 species